rnacentral:ncRNA from 1 species
CCGGUUCCGGUUCACGUCGCGUGAGAGCGUGACGACCCGGCGACC